rnacentral:pre_miRNA from 1 species
GUAUCUUUGAGUCUUACAUGGAAAAAAUAGAGAAUGAGAUUGAGCCAAGGAUGACUUGCCGAUUUUUAUCAACAAAUCUUAACUGAUUAUGGUGCCCGGCAAGUUGACCUUGGCUCUGUUUCCUUCUCUUCUUUUCGAUGUCAAACUCUAGAUAU